CUUUAUAUAAAAAGAAAUACGUAAGACUAGGCAGUAUGGUCGUAAGACUAUAGCCUGUCCUCUAAGGACGAAUUAUAAAAAAAAAAAAAAAAAUUGUAACUUUAUAAUUUUAACCAGACUUUUAACAUUUAAAAAUUUCUUAACUUUAACAUCUUAUUUAAAAUUUUCUCAUUACAAUGUCUACUGUGUCAGCAAAUUCACCUAGUAAGCGUGAGAAACAGCAAUCAGAUCUGGCUCAAGAAGUAGAAUCUAUCAGAGCUAUGAAUAGCAGCCUCCGAGCUUACUUGGAACAUCUGAGGGGUUUCAAAAAAAAUCUACUAGCAAUGAACAACAACUACACACAACUGAACAAAGUUAAUCAUCAAUGGAUUGAUAUUGUCAAGGAAAUGAAAUGAUAUUUAUAUGUAUAUUGUCUGCCUGAUUAUGCAUAAAGAAUGUCAAAACCAAGACUAACAACAAAAGUUAAAGACCAAAACAAAAAUCUUACUUGUGGAUGAGAAAGUAAUGUUUUCUCCUAAUGUGAAUACAAAUAUUCAGCAGAUUAUUAUUAGCAUAAGGAAUUAUGAGAUUAUGAGCAUGAACCUCGAAUAUCAUAAAAAGGCAUGAAUUGCAAAGAAUGAUGAGGGCAAGGUCAUUUGCUAAGGGCCAUACUAGGAAGUUAUAGAUUAAACUCUUGUAUAAAAAUAAAAGUAAAGGUUGUAUAUA